rnacentral:rRNA from 1 species
UACGUAGGGUGCGAGCGUUAAUCGGAAUUACUGGGCGUAAAGCGCACGCAGGCGGCUUGUUGAGUCGGAUGUGAAAGCCCCGGGCUCAACCUGGGAAUUGCAUUCGAUACUGGCAAGCUAGAGUAUGUGAGAGGGGGGUAGAAUUCCAAGUGUAACGGUGAAAUGCGUAGAGAUUUGGAGGAAUACCAGUGGCGAAGGCGGCCCCCUGGCACACUACUGACGCUCAGGUGCGAAAGCGUGGGGAGCAAACAGG